UUUAUCAUGUGCCGAACAUUUUUUUUGGGUAAGGUGUGACCACCGCCAAUUCGAACGACAAGGAUUCUUUUCACGUCAUCCAAAAAAGGAUAUAGCUGAAGACGCAACAACGAAAAAUUUCACUGGACAUAGUGAUGUUUCAAUUUUGGUAUGAAACUAAAAACAAAACCAAAAUUAUGAAUCCUGUUCUCUCAGCAGUCAGAGUCAUACCAUUUUGAAGUUAUAUACACAAAUGAAAAUAUUGAAAUAUAAUUAUGGGAUCUGGUAUGAAUUACACAUAAGAACCUAA